UGAUACUAAGCCAUGCGAGUCAUUGUAGCAAUACAAGGCAUACGGCUCAGUAACGCGUAGUCAACCUAACCUAUGGACGGGAAUAACCUCGGGAAACUGAGAAUAAUGCCCGAUAGAACAUUAUGCCUGGAAUGGUUUAUGUUCCAAAUGAUUUAUCGCCGUAGGAUGGGACUGCGGCCUAUCAGUUUGUUGGUGAGGUAAUGGCCCACCAAGACUAUUACAGGUACGGGCUCUGAGAGGAGUAGCCCAGAGAUGGGUACUGAGACACGGACCCAGGCCCUAUGGGGCGCAGCAGGCGAGAAAACUUUGCAAUGUGCGAAAGCACGACAAGGUUAAUCCGAGUGGUUUCUGCUAAAGGAACCUUUUGUCAGUCCUAGAAACACUGAUGAAUAAGGGGUGGGCAAGUUCUGGUGUCAGCCGCCGCGGUAAAACCAGCACCUCAAGUGGUCAGGAUGAUUAUUGGGCCUAAAGCAUCCGUAGCCGGCUCUGUAAGUUUUCGGUUAAAUCUGUACGCUCAACGUACAGGCUGCCGGGAAUACUGCAAAGCUAGGGAGUGGGAGAGGUAGACGGUACUCGGUAGGAAGGGGUAAAAUCCUUUGAUCUAUUGAUGACCACCUGUGGCGAAGGCGGUCUACCAGAACACGUCCGACGGUGAGGGAUGAAAGCUGGGGGAGCAAACCGGAUUAGAUACCCGGGUAGUCCCAGCUGUAAACCAUGCAAACUCAGUGAUGCAUUGGCUUGUGGCCAAUGCAGUGCUGCAGGGAAGCCGUUAAGUUUGCCGCCUGGGAAGUACGUACGCAAGUAUGAAACUUAAAGGAAUUGGCGGGGGAGCACCACAAGGGGUGAAGCCUGCGGUUCAAUUGG
rnacentral:rRNA from 1 species